rnacentral:lncRNA from 1 species
CUGUAUGCUAGAUGAGUUUGAUCCAAGGUAUGACAAGCUUCACCAAGCUGUGCUUCAGCUUACACAAGUUGAGGGAUAUGCCUCUUGCCUCCAGGUCAGAGCUCCUGGUCUUCACCCACAGUGUGACUGGCAGAAAUCCAAAAUGUGGAACGAGCUGAAGAAGAAGAAGCAGCAAGAUUCAUCUACCUUCAAAACUUUUGUUUCAAUUGUCAUUACUAUUUUUUAGUGCAAGAGAUAUUUGGCUUGUUGGUUGUAUAUUCAAAAAUACAUAAUAAAAAUCAAGAUGUUUAACAUUUUAUGGAUGAUGUUUAUUACUUUGAGUUAUAAUGAAUUAAAAACUAAGACUAGUGUCAGUCACAAAAUGGCCACUGAGUACGACUGGACAAGUUACUGUAGUUAUAUGUAGUUCCUGUAUUUACAUGAAAACCAAUAAAAAAUAUUGGGCAGGGGUGGGGACAAAAUGGCCACUGUGAGGUGUGUGGUGUAGCACACAGUGUGUGCCAUGGCGGGGUGUGUGUGGCAUAGUACAAAAUGAGAGAGAAGAGAGUCAUCACUACUUGCUCCUAUGCUUACCUCAUGCUUACCAUGGGAAGACUGUGGUAUAUCGUACUGGUCCUGUUUGUGGCAUUUAUACAAUAUUGAUAUUCUUCACAUGCCUGCUGAAUCCUCUUGUAGUCUAAUAGCAAAAGGGGGCAUUCCCCAGUACCAGGAAAAUAUACAAGGUGGCCAACUGCAUUCUGUCUUGCACACGCUCACACAUGCACACAGGUUUGUCUCUCUCCCUCUCACAUACAAACUUCAUAUUUGCAAAUAUAUGUCUCUCUCUCCUGGCCCCUGGUGCAUCUUUCCCUCACUCUCACACAGAUGCAUACAUGCCUCACGCCUCUCUAACACAAAAACACCACACAUACAGUGGUACCUCAGGAUACAUAUGCUUCAGGUUACAGACUCCGCUAACCCAGAAAUAUUACCUCGGGUUAAGAACUUUGCUUCAGGAUGAGAACAGAAAUCAUGCUCCCGCGGCGCAGCAGCAGUAGGAGGCCCCAUUAGCUAAAGUGGUGCUUCAGGUUAAGAACAGACCUCCAGAAUGAAUUAAGUUCUUAACCCGAGGUACCACUGUACAUACAUCCCUCUCUGUCCAAGUGCACGUUCCCCCUCCCUCACUGACCUAACAUACAUACAGCCUUUUCUCUCACAUGCACAGAAAACAUAGAUCACUUCCUCCUUCCUUCACACACACCCUGCAAAUACAUCUCUCCUCUCUCACACAAAUCCGCUCCACUUCCCAGUGGGGAGGAGUUGCGGUGGACCGCGUGGCCACACACUCCCCACCGGGGGCGGGGGACUUUGUCCCCCGUUGCCUGGGGGAUCCCGGCCACGUCAGAGCCCGGCCAGCCAAUCCACUGGCCGGGGCCGUUUAAAUGGAGGAGUGAGCCAGAGGACUUCCUCUUUGGCUUGCUUCCUCAAUCACCCGCCCUCCCUCAUUAUUUUGCAGGUUAGGCAAUGGCCUUGCUAUGGACUUCGGUUGGUCACCUUGGUUGUCCGGGGGCCUGGUAGGAAUUUUUCCACUUGGCAAAUUGGCACUGGCCACUUGGUUUUCGCCUACUUUGUAGCAAUUGUCACAACUUUGUUAGGGUUGCGGUUAGGCAUUGUUUGACCUUGUACGGGGGAGGGGAGGUGUGGCCAUCACCUGCCCCUCCAUGCUUAAGGGUAUUCCGUUAAAGGAAUCCGGGGGUGUUGAUCUAGUCUGAAGCCCGGCUGGGGGCUAGGGCCUUGAAACGACCCCGACGGGAACACCAGGGGGAGCUUGAGUUCAUUCCUCCUUCCUUCACGCACACCCUGCAAAUACAUCUCUCCUCUCUCACACAAAUCACACAUGCAUAGUUUCUCUCUCUCUCUCUCUCUCUCACACACACACACACACACACACACACACAACUUGAGCUCACAUCCCCAUCCAGAAUAUUUCCUCCCUGGAGCAAAGGAGCCACCCACCACCAGCUCCACAUUGCUGACAAACAAUGGUAGCCUGAAUGCACAGGGAUACCUCUAGGGUUGCCAUACUUCCCUGGGGAAUCCCGCCUUUGAAAUCCUGGUAAUGUCUGGGAAGAUCUGGACAUAUGGCAGCCCUACUCUUCCCUCCCUACUAACUUUUGGGGACAAAGCUAUUUGCCUCUGGUGGCCUGAACGAAGGAGUUGGUAUUCUGUUCUGGAGCAUCCCACUAGAAAAACCCCCACACAUUUGCCAUUUACUAUCAUUGUUAAUUUGCUUUUGGGUAUUCAGAACACUUCCCGUGUUAUAAUUGCAGUAUCAUCUGAGGCUGGGAUCCAUGGAUACAAGACAGAAAUGGCAGAUGAAAAGGGGGAGGGGAGUCUUAUUUUGUUAUAUAUUGGAAUAACAGCAUUUUAAAAGUUCAUCUGGUUUUAACUUGAUGCAAAAAUGACCAAUCCCAGAGGCCUUUUAAUUUUUACUACUUUUCAGAAACUGUGAUAAAGGAGGUGGCUUCCCAAAUUUGGGGUGAAAGCUUAUCAGCUGUUGGGUUUCAUGACUUCAGUCUUGGUUAUUCUCAAGCAUCACUCUGAAGAUUCGUGAUGGAACUAGGAAUAAAAUCCAGACCUUCGUGUAUCAUUCAGUCUCCCAUGUCUGCUGAAAUGGAAAAAGAAAUGGCAAUAUGCUCCUUCCCACAAGGGGAUGCAUUUCCCCCGAAUACACUUAAGACAAGAUGGCUCGCCUGGUGCCUUUGUUAAUAGUGUUGCCAAAUUUCAAAAAGUAAAAUUCCUCCCCCCAAUAUGGUGAUUUUAAGCCAUACACCCAGGUUUUCCCUGACAUUUUGCCGAUUCGGCAUUUUUGCCCUCGUCAUUUUUAUACCCAAACGCCAGGACAUGUCAGGAAUAUGGCAAGCUUAUUGUUACAUAUCUUUAGGCACCAGGCAAAAACAUUUAUUUUCCCCAGGCCUAUGGCUUUCCAAACUGGGUGUGUUUUUGUUUGUUAUUAUGGUAUGCAUUUUAGUGCUUUUAUAUUGUAAACCAUCCUGCAAUCGUUGGAUGAAGGGCGGUAUAGAAAUGUAAUAAAUAAUAAUAAAUAAUAUUAAUAAGACAACUCUGGGCAGUGCAUGGCAGGAUCCCUUUGUUGUUUCUCUGUGAAAAAUCCUAGCAGAGUAAUUUGCAAUACAACAGUACUGCAAUGCAACAGAAUCCUGUGGUGCAAUUUUUUGCACCCAGCUAUUUAGGCGUUGCUUUGUUCCAUCUGCCUUUUAGGACACUGGUGACGAGAGUAAUGAAUAGCGUGAGCCACUUGGUUAUUAGCUCUCCCUCCCUCCUCCCUUCUGCCUUUCAUUAUGGUAACUUUACAUGCACUUUUAAUUUGUGUGCAGACAGGUACAAAAGCAUAACCGGAUAUACCUGUUAUUUGCCAAUGACCUGAGAGAGUUUAGUUUAUGUUAAGCCUGGGGUUAUGUCAGAGUUUGCACGCAAUUCCCCAAUAGAUUUGCUGCAGGCAAUUAGUGGAUAGUGGUGUUGGAAGGGGGAGGAAGGCUUUAAAGUGACAGAACUUUAUUUCAUUCUCCUUUAGUCUUUUCAAGCACGCAACCAACUUACUUUUAUUCCGCACGCAGGCAAAGUUACACAGUCUGCUCAGGAAAAGAUAUGUAUAAUUUAAACCAUACUAAGUUAGGAAAGAAUUUGUUGCAAUUUGUUAACAAUCCCUGCAGCAGCUAACCUUGUGAGUGC